rnacentral:rRNA from 1 species
CCUACGGGAGGCUGCAGUGAGGAAUAUUGGUCAAUGGCCGAGAGGCUGAACCAGCCAAGUCGCGUGAGGGAAGAAUGUCCUAAGGAUUGUAAACCUCUUUUGUCGGGGAGCAAAAGGCUCUGCGGAGUCGUAUUGAGAGUACCCGAAGAAAAAGCAUCGGCUAACUCCGUGCCAGCAGCCGCGGUAAUACGGAGGAUCCAAGCGUUAUCCGGAUUUAUUGGGUUUAAAGGGUGCGUAGGCGGAUUGAUAAGUUAGAGGUGAAAUGUCCGAGCUUAACUCGGGAACUGCCUCUAAUACUGUUGAUCUAGAGAGUAGAUGCGGUAGGCGGAAUGUAUGGUGUAGCGGUGAAAUGCUUAGAGAUCAUACAGAACACCGAUUGCGAAGGCAGCUUACCAAUCUAUAUCUGACGUUGAGGCACGAAAGCGUGGGGAGCAAACAGGAUUAGAUACCCGUGUAGUC